AUGAAGAACGCAGCGAAAUGCGAUAAGUAAUGUGAAUUGCAGAAUCCAGUGAAUCAUCGAAUCUUUGAACGCACAUUGCGCCCGCCAGCAUUCUGGCGGGCAUGCCUGUUCGAGCGUCAUUUCAACCCUCGACCUCCCUUUGGGGAAGUCGGCGUUGGGGACCGGCAGCACACCGCCGGCCCUGAAAUGGAGUGGCGGCCCGUCCGCGGCGACCUCUGCGUAGUAAACCAACUCGCACCGGAACCCCGACGUGGCCACGCCGUAAAACACCCAACUUCUGAACGUUGACCUCGAAUCAGGUAGGACUACCCGCUGAACUUAAGCAUAUCAAUAAGCGGAGGA
rnacentral:misc_RNA from 1 species